AACUGUAUGGUGGCCUAGUGGUUAGAGCAUUCACCUAGAAUGUGGGAAGUCAUGGGUUUGAUCCACAGUCAAGUCA